AGAGUUUGAUCCUGGCUCAGGAUGAACGCUGGCGGUAUGCUUAACACAUGCAAGUCGAACGGGGCCAUUAGUGGCCUAGUGGCGGACGGGUGAGUAACGCGUGAGAAUCUGGCCUCAGGUCCGGGACAACCAUUGGAAACGGUGGCUAAUACCGGAUGUGCCUUAUGGUGAAAGAUUAAUUGCCUGAGGAUGAGCUCGCGUCUGAUUAGCUAGUUGGUGGGGUAAAGGCCUACCAAGGCUGCGAUCAGUAACUGGUCUGAGAGGAUGACCAGUCACACUGGGACUGAGACACGGCCCAGACUCCUACGGGAGGCAGCAGUGGGGAAUUUUCCGCAAUGGGCGAAAGCCUGACGGAGCAAUACCGCGUGAGGGAGGAAGGCUCUUGGGUUGUAAACCUCUUUUCUCAGGGAAGAACACUGACGGUACCUGAGGAAUCAGCAUCGGCUACUCCGUGCCAGCAGCCGCGGUAAUACGGAGGAUGCAAGCGUUAUCCGGAAUUAUUGGGCGUAAAGCGUCUGUAGGUGGAUAUUCAAGUCUGCUGUCAAAGACCGUGGCUCAACCAUGGAAAGGCGGUGGAAACUGAAAGUCUAGAGUGCGGUAGGGGCAGAGGGAAUUCCCAGUGUAGCGGUGAAAUGCGUAGAGAUUGGGAAGAACACCCGUGCGAAAGNNNCUCUGCUGGGCCUGCACUGACACUAAGGGACGAAAGCUAGGGGAGCGAAUGGGAUUAGAUACCCUAGUAGUCC
rnacentral:rRNA from 1 species